CCUACGGGAGGCUGCAGUAAGGAAUAUUGGUCAAUGGACGAAAGUCUGAACCAGCCAUCCCGCGUGCAGGAUGAAAGCCCUAUGGGUUGUAAACUGCUUUUAGCAGAGAAGAAAAGCUUUCAUUACUGAGAGUCUGACGGUAUCUGCAGAAUAAGCACCGGCUAACUCCGUGCCAGCAGCCGCGGUAAUACGGAGGGUGCGAGCGUUAUCCGGAAUUACUGGGGCUAAGGGGUGGUUAUAAGGAAGAUUAGAAAUCUUGUCGCUUAACGAUAAAAUUGCCGAUGAUACUGGUACUCUUGAAUUGGGUUGAGGUUAGCGGAAUGUGACAUGUAGCGGUGAAAUGCAUAGAUAUGUCAUGGAACACCAAUUGCGAAGGCAGCUAACUGGGCCUUGAUUGACGCUGAGGCACGAAAGCGUGGGUAGCGAACAGGAUUAGAUACCCGGGUAGUC
rnacentral:rRNA from 1 species